UUUCUCUUAGGUGGAAAUCCUUGACUGGAAGACAAAACAACAACUAUGCUUUUUGGAAAAGGUUGAGCCACACACUACAAUAUGUGAUAUCAGGCUAAUGUUCCACAAAAUAUAUCCUCAGUGGUAUCCAGCAAGGCAGUCUAUAAGACUUGACCCCAAAGGAAAAUCACUGAGGGAUGAAGAAAUCCUUCAGCUGCUCCCCGUUGGCACAACUGCUACACUCUAUUUUAAAGAUUUAGGGCCCCAAAUAGGAUGGACUAUGGU